rnacentral:rRNA from 1 species
UGCAGGCUGCAACUCGCCUGCAUGAAGCUGGAAUUGCUAGUAAUCGCGGAUCAGCAAGCCGCGGUGAAUACGUUCCCGGGCCUUGUACACACCGCCCGUCACACCAUGAGAGUCGGGAACACCCGAAGUCCGUAGUCUAACCGCAAGGGGGGCGCGGCCGAAGGUGGGUCCGGUAAUUGGGGUGAAGUCGUAACAAGGUACC